rnacentral:sRNA from 1 species
GUGCUGGGAAUAUAGGUGUGAGCCCAUGUGCCUGGCCUAUUGCUGUUUAUAAUGUAUUUAUUGUUAAAUGGCAGGCUCCCAGGGUGAUUUGAGAGUUGCCAGGAGAGGAAGGCCAUUUGGCAAGAAUCCUGACAGACAAAAGCUGGAGGAGGGUAGAGCAAGAUGGCAGAAUAGAAAGCGCCACCGAUCAUACUCCGCCCCCACAAGGACACCAAGUUAACUACCUACACAGAAGAAAUACCUUCAUAAGAAUCAAAAAUCAGGUUCUACCUCCCAGAUGACAUUUCUAGACACACCCUGGGCCAGAAGAGAACCCACUUCCUUGAAGGAAAGGAUCCAGUCCUGGCAGCAUUCAUCGCCUGCUAACUGAAGAUCCCUUGGGCCUUGAAUACCAGCAGCAAUACCCAGAUUUGAUGAAAAAGAAAAUGUGUCCAACUGCAUCCAGUUGAAAACUUCAGUUAUUAAGGGUAUUAAGAAUCAAUUGAUAGAGCAAUUUCCAGGUAUUGAACCAUGGCUUAAUCAAAUCAUGCCUAAGAAAGAUCCUGUCAAAAUAGUCCGAUGCCAUGAACAUAUAGAAAUCCUUACAGUAAAUGGAGAAUUACUCUUUUUUAGACAAAGA